UACGGAGGGUGCGAGCGUUGUCCGGAAUCAUUGGGCGUAAAGGGCGCGUAGGUGGCCCGGCAAGCGUGCGGUGAAAGUCGGGGCUCAACCCCCGAUCGGCCGUGCGAACUGCGGGGCUGGAGCAGCUGUAGAGGCAGGCGGAAUUCCGGGUGUAGCGGCUGGAAUGCGUAGAGGAUCCGGAAGAACACCGGUGGCGAAGGCGGCCUGCCUGGGCGAGUUUGCUGACACUGAGCGCGACGAGC
rnacentral:rRNA from 1 species